rnacentral:rRNA from 1 species
CUCCAGACUCCUACGGGAGGCAGCAGUGGGGAAUAUUGCACAAUGGGGGAAACCCUGAUGCAGCGACGCCGCGUGAGCGAUGAAGUAUUUCGGUAUGUAAAGCUCUAUCAGCAGGGAAGAAAAUGACGGUACCUGACUAAGAAGCCCCGGCUAACUACGUGCCAGCAGCCGCGGUAAUACGUAGGGGGCAAGCGUUAUCCGGAUUUACUGGGUGUAAAGGGAGCGUAGACGGUCCUGCAAGCCAGAUGUGAAAGCCCGGGGCUCAACCCCGGGACUGCUCUUGGAACUGCGUGGCUGGAGUGCAGGAGGGGCAGGCGGAAUUCCUGGUGUAGCGGUGAAAUGCGUAGAUAUCAGGAGGAACACCGGUGGCGAAGGCGGCCUGCUGGACUGCAACUGACGUUGAGGCCCGAAAGCGUGGGGAGCAAACAGGAUUAGAUACCCGUGUA